GAUCAAGCGACUAAGGGCGCACGGUGGAUGUCUUGGCGUCAAGAGGCGAUGAAGGACGUUGGAACCUGCGAUAAGCCAUAGGGAGCUGGUAACCGAGCUGUGAUCUAUGGAUUUCCGAAUGGGGAAACCCACUCUGUUUACAGAGUACUGCACACUGAAUGCAUAGGUGUGUGGAGCGAACCCAGGGAACUGAAACAUCUAAGUACCUGGAGGAAAGGAAAUCAACCGAGACUCCGUAAGUAGCGGCGAGCGAAAGCGGAUAAGGCAAAGUGAACACGUUGGAAUGCGUGGCCGAAGAAGGUGAAAGCCCUGUAGGUAGCCGUUUAGCCAUAGAGUAGCGUCGGGCUCGUGAAACCCGGCGUGAACAUGGGGGGUCCACCCUCCAAGGCUAAGUACUCCUUGACGACCGAUAGUGGACCAGUAAGGUGACUGAACGAUGAAAAGCACCCCUAUUAGGGGAGUGAAAUAGCACCUGAAACCGUGCGCUUACAAGCGGUGGGAGCCCUUCGGGGUGACCGCGUGCUUUUUGCAUAAUGAGCUCGGGAGUUAGCCUCAGUGGCGAGCCUAAGGCCUAUCGGGCCGGAGGCGGAGCGAAAGCGAGUCUGAAUAGGGCGUGCAGUCGCUGGGGCUAGACGCGAAACCCGUGUGAUCUACCCAUGGCCAGGGUGAAGGAGGGGUAAGACCCUCUGGAGGCCCGAACCCGUAUUCGUUGAAAAGAAUUGGGAUGAGCUGUGGGGAGGAGUUAAAGUCUAAUCAAACCGGGAAAUAGCUCGUUCUCUCCGAAAUAACUUUAGGGUUAGCCUCGAGAUGCAAGCAUUGGGGGUAGAGCUACUGGAUGGAUGGUGGGCCCUCACGGGUACCCCAUCCAACCAAACUCCGAAUACCAAUGCCCAAGCCUCGGGAGAUAGACGGCGAGUGACAAUAUCCGUCGUCAAGAGGAGAACAAUCCAGACCGCCGGCUAAGGUCCCAAAUCGAUGCUCAGUUAGGAAGGAAGUCGGAUUGCCCUGACAGCCAGGAUGUUGGCUUAGAAGCAGCCACCAUUUAAAGAGUGCGUAAUAGCUCACUGGUCGAGGAGUCCGGCGCCGAGAAUGAUUGGGGAUAAGCAUCGAGCCGAAGCCGCGGACACGCAAGUGUGGUAGGAGAGCGUUCCUGUCGGCGUUGAAGCCAAUCCGGAAGGGUUGGUGGAGCGUCAGGAAGUGAAUAUCCGAGCUUGAGUAACGAUAAAGCAGGUGAGAAUCCUGCUCGCCGAAAACCUAAGGUUUCCUGGGGAAGGUAAAUCCUCCCAGGGUCAGUCGGGACCUAAGGCGAGGCCGAAAGGCGUAGUCGAUGGACAGCUGGUUAAUAUUCCAGCACCCCGGACAUAGUGCGGAUCGAGAAAACCCUCUGCCUUAUCAGAUUGGUAGGCCGCAAGGCCGUUGGGGGUGGAAUCGGUUCCUAGAAAAGCUAUGUCACUAACGGGCCCGUACCAAAACCGACACAGGUAGGUGGGGUGAAGAACCUCAGGCGCUCGAGAGAACGGUUGUGAAGGAACUCGGCAAAAUUACCCCGUACGUUCGCAAUAAGGGGGCCCUACCCGUAAGGGAGGGCGCAGAGAAAAGGCCCUAGCGACUGUUUACCAAAAACACAGCUCUGUGCUAACUCGCAAGAGGAUGUAUACAGAGUGACACUUGCCCAAUGCCGGAAUGUCACGGAAGUGGGUUAGCUUCGGCGAAGCUCGCGACCCAAGCACCGGUCAAUGGCGGCCGUAACUAUGACGGUCCUAAGGUAGCGAAGUUCCUUGUCGGGUAAGUUCCGACGCGCAUGAAUAGUGUAACGACUUGGGCACUGUCUCCACAACCGACUCGGUGAAAUAGUAGUGGCGGUGAAGAUGCCGCCUACCCGCGGCAAGACGGAAAGACCCCGUGGACCUUUACUGUAGGCUUUUAUUGGUCACGAGCGAUCAUUGCGUAGGAUAGGUGGGAGGCUUUGAAGCCGGCGUUUAGGCGUUGGUGGAGCCAUUGGUGAAAUACCACCCUUUGUUUGUUUGUGGCCUAACCCCGAUUCCCAUGAAGCUGGGCGGGGGACAGUGAGUGCUUGUCAGUUUGACUGGGGCGGUCUCCUCCUAAAGAGUAACGGAGGAGCGCAUAAGGUUGGCUCAGCGCGGAUGGAAACCGCGCAUCGAGUGUAAAGGCACAAGCCAGCUUUACUGCGAGGCCGACGGGCCGAGCAGUUACGAAAGUAGGCCUUAGUGAUCCUGCGGUCCCGUGUGGAAGGGCCGUAGCUCAUCGGAUAAAAGGUACCCCGGGGAUAACAGGCUGAUCGCUCCCGAGCGUCCAUAGCGGCGGAGCGGUUUGGCACCUCGAUGUCGGCUCAUCGCAUCCUGGGGCUGAAGGCGGUCCCAAGGGUUAGGCUGUUCGCCUAUUAAAGCGGUACGCGAGCUGGGUUCAGACCGGCGUGAGCCAGGUCGGUCCCUAUCUGUCGUGGGCGUUCCAGGCUUGAGAGGAGUCAUCCUUAGUACGAGAGGAUUAGGAUGGACACACCCCUGGUGAUCCAGUUGGCCCGCUCGGGCCAUCGCUGGGUAGCUACGUGUGGCAGGGAUAACCGCUGAAAGCAUCUAAGCGGGAAGCCCCCCUCGAGAUGAGGCCUGGUCGCAUUAGCGUGAGACCCCUUGUAGACUACAAGGUUGAUAGGCCACAGGUGUAAGGGUAGAAAUAUCCUCAGCUGAGUGGUACUAACGGUCGAAAGCUUGAUCGC
rnacentral:rRNA from 1 species